GUAUAUUUAUAUAGUAUAGGAUUUUUCAACAAAAGUGCUUUAUGUUAUAAAAUAAAAUUUUAAAUUUAGAAGCUAAAAUUAAUAAAUUUUAUUAAAAAAUUUAGGCUUUGUUACUUCUCUUGGCGAAACUUGUGCCAGCAGCCGCGGUUAUUCAAGUAAGAGUAAGAAUUUAAUUGGAAAUAAAAAAAUUAUUUUGAAUUUAAAAGUUUAUUUGAGGUGAAAUUUAAUAUUUUUGUUUAAUUUUUUGAUUUUUAGAAAUUUUUUUUAAAAACUAGGAUUAGAUACCCUAUUAUUUUAAAAAGUUAUUAAGGUAGUGAGUAAAGUGUAUUAAAUCUAAAGAUUUUGGCGGUGUUUUAAGCUUUUUAGAGGAAUUUACUCUUUAAUUGAUAUAACACAAACAUCUUACUUAAUUUGGUAAUGGCAGUUUGUAUAUCGCUAUCAUUCAAUAAAGUUGAAUAAUUUUUUAUUAAUCUUAAGAUUUUUAUUAAUGUUAGGUCAAAAUGCAGCUUAAAAUUAAGGUUGAAGUAAAUUACAUUUAUUUAUAUUAAUAUAUGAAUGAAAAGUGGUUUUGAAUUUAAAAGUAAGAUGAAAUUAUAAUGUUUAUCUGAAUCUAGUUCUAGAACAUGCACAUAUCGCCCGUCACUCUCAGUUUUGAGAUAAGUCGUAACAAAGUAAAAGUACUGGAAAGUGCUUUU
rnacentral:ncRNA from 1 species